rnacentral:rRNA from 1 species
UACAGGGGGGGCAAGCGUUGUUCGGAAUUACUGGGCGUAAAGGGUUCGUAGGUGGCCAACUAAGUCAGACGUGAAAUCCCUCAGCUUAACUGGGGAACUGCGUCUGAUACUGGAUGGCUUGAGUGCAGGAGAGGAAUGCGGAAUUCCAGGUGUAGCGGUGAAAUGCGUAGAUAUCUGGAGGAACACCGGUGGCGAAGGCGGCAUUCUGGACCGGUAUUGACGCUGAGGCGCGAAAGCCAGGGGAGCAAACGGG